rnacentral:rRNA from 1 species
UAAAAUAAAAUCAAAGGAACUUGUUUUUUAAUCGAUAAUACUCGAUAAAUUUCACUAUUUUUAUAUAGCUUAUAUACCUCCGUAUAAACUUUCUUUACAUAAUUUGUUAUAAUCCCAUUAUAAAUAUCUCAGGUCAAGGUGUAGCCCAUAAUGUAGAUAAAAUAAGUUACUAUAAAAGCUAUUUAUGGAAAUAAGCUAAAUUUAAAUAAAACAGGAUUUAACUACAAUAAUUUAAUAAUAAUAAAUUAUGAAUUUCAUUUAAAC